UGAUCCUGGCUCAGAACGAACGCUGGCGGCGUGCUUAACACAUGCAAGUCGAACGAGAAAUUACCUUCGGGUAAUGGACAGUGGCAGACGGGUGAGUAACGCGUGGCAACCUACCUUUCAGUAAGGGACAACAGUUGGAAACGACUGCUAAUACCUUAUACGUCCUCCGGGAGAAAGAUUUAUCGCUGAUAGAUGGGGCCGCGUUAGAUUAGCUUGUUGGUGAGGUAAUGGCUCACCAAGGCGACGAUCUAUAGCGGGUCUGAGAGGAUGAUCCGCCACACUGGGACUGAGACACGGCCCAGACUCCUACGGGAGGCAGCAGUGGGGAAUAUUGGACAAUGGGGGCAACCCUGAUCCAGCAACGCCGCGUGAAUGAUGAAGGCCUUAGGGUUGUAAAAUUCUUUCGCUAGGGAAGAUAAUGACUGUACCUAGUAAAGAAGCCCCGGCUAACUCCGUGCCAGCAGCCGCGGUAAUACGGAGGGGGCUAGCGUUGUUCGGAAUUACUGGGCGUAAAGCGUGCGUAGGCGGAUUAAUAAGUUAGAUGUGAAAUCCCAGGGCUCAACCCUGGAACUGCAUUUAAAACUGUUAGUCUUGAGUUCUGGAGAGGUAAGUGGAAUUCCUAGUGUAGAGGUGAAAUUCGUAGAUAUUAGGAGGAACACCAGAGGCGAAGGCGGCUUACUGGACAGAUACUGACGCUGAGGCACGAAAGUGUGGGGAGCAAACAGGAUUAGAUACCCUGGUAGU
rnacentral:rRNA from 1 species